ACGGAAGGCAGCAGUGGGGAAUAUUGCACAAUGGGGGAAACCCUGAUGCAGCGACGCCGCGUGAAGGAAGAAGUAUCUCGGUAUGUAAACUUCUAUCAGCGGGGAAGAUAAUGACGGUACCUGACUAAGAAGCCCCGGCUAACUACGUGCCAGCAGCCGCGGUAAUACGUAGGGGGCAAGCGUUAUCCGGAUUUACUGGGUGUAAAGGGAGCGUAGACGGAUCGGCAAGUCUGAUGUGAAAGGCUGGGGCUCAACCCCGGGACUGCAUUGGAAACUGUCGGUCUUGAGUGCCGGGGGGGUAAGCGGAAUUCCUAGUGUAGCGGUGAAAUGCGUAGAUAUUAGGAGGAACACCAGUGGCGAAGGCGGCUUACUGGACGGUAACUGACGUUGAGGCUCGAAAGCGUGGGGAGCAAACAGGAUUAGAUACCCUGGUA
rnacentral:rRNA from 1 species